rnacentral:rRNA from 1 species
CAAUAGCGUAUAUUUAAGUUGUUGCAGUUAAAAAGCUCGUAGUUGGAUUUCGGGUGGGACGCAGCGGUCUCGCAUUGCGUUUGUACUGCUGCAGCCCUCCUCCUUGCCGGGGGCGGCCUCUCGGACUUCACUGUCUGGGGGUCAGAAUCGGCGAUGUUACUUUGAGUAAAUUAGAGUGUUCAAAGCAAGCUUACGCUCUGAAUAUAAUAGCAUGGGAUAACACGACAGGACUCUGGCCUAUCGUGUUGGUCUAUAGGACCAGAGUAAUGAUUAAGAGGGACAGUCGGGGGCAUUCGUAUUCCGUUGUCAGAGGUGAAAUUCUUGGAUUUACGGAAGACGAACAUCUGCGAAAGCAUUUGCCAAGGAUGUUUUCAUUGA